GGCCAGUUGCACCAAACCACCUGCUAACGUAAGCACAGUUCGCUAAAUUUUAACGCUUACGUGGGGGUCUUAACGAUUGCUAAAUAAAAUGCGUUGCACCAACUAUAAAAUAACAGAAUGUCGUCGCUAAUCGUGUGGCCAUACUAUGAACGCGUUCCUACCAAAAAAUUUAUGGUAGAAUUAUUUUUUCAUAUAGCAACCCAGCAAUAAAUGUCAAAGUUGUCAAAUUUUUCAACAACGAGAAUACUUUUGAAGGCGCGAACUAGUUUCUAUUUCUUUUCAGGUUUUAAAUCUAAAUAUUACACAAUUUAUGCCAUGCCAAUCUUGAAUAUAUUUAUGAUUAUAUUAAAAACAAUGUAUCUUAAUGGCAUAUUAAAGUGAAACUGCUGACUACGAUUGUUCAGUGUCCAAGUGUUUUCCAAGCUGCAAAACCGAAUCAAAGAAGGAGCUGCAUUGCCCGGUUUGAUAUACACCAUUUGAUAUGAAAUACAAGAUGAAAGUUACACACAAGUGAAUCGAUUCAAGAAAUCCAAGAAUCAUACACUAGAUUAACUGGAAAAACUUGUUGCGAAAAAUAAAGUAUUAUAAAUAUUAUCUGUAUUUCAUUUUUGACAAUAAAAUAUAUUUUUAGUUACCUUAUCUUACUUUAUUUCUACCUCACUAAAUCCUUUUUAGGUAGUGACUAAUGGAGGUAAAAGGUUAUCCGGAGAGAAAUCAACAACUCAUUGACAUAUAAUAUAUUAUUUCACAAUUAUAUUUAAGUGCCUACUUAUUAUAUUUUCUGUCAUACUGGUAACUUAGACAUAACUUGUUUAUUCCAACUAUUCUUUAUUGGGGUGAUCAUGAUAUAAAUCAUUAAUGAAACAUGCAUGGGCUGUUGAAAAACUGGUAUGGGGAAAACAAAUAAAAUCAAACUGAGGGCCGUUUCUUAUGACUGAAUUUAGAGCUAUUUAGGUAUGUUCGGUUUUGAAUGAUGAUUUAUAGGGACUGGGUAGGUUAAUAUGUAGGUAGGGUAUUGUGUAGUUAGAUUUAAAAAUAAUGGGUUCACACAUUCUCUAAAGUAUGUCCUGAUGCUCUAUUGCUAUUUAAGACCUAUGGAUUAUAUUUUUUACCAAUUUACUGGUAUGCUAUUUCCAAUACAUGGCUAGGGUUAUAUACAAUUUUUACAUUGUAAUUUAUUUAUAUGCAACUUCACUGUAUGACUGGUUGAACACAAGUAAAAUUCAGGUGACAGAA